AGGUUGGCCCUAUAGUUCAGCAGUUCCUUUGUUAGAUCUCUGUUAAAUACCAGACUACUCCUCUUUGGGGGUUCUAAACUCGUGGGUGCUCCCCAGCCCUUUU
rnacentral:vault_RNA from 1 species